AUACGUAGGUGACAAGCGUUAUCCGGAUUUACUGGGCGUAAAGGGCGUGUAGGCGGUCUUGCAAGUCAGAAGUGAAAUUCCUGAGCUCAACUCGGGCGCUGCUUCUGAAACUGCAGGACUUGAGUGCUGGAGGGGAUAGCGGAAUUCCUAGUGGAGCGGUAAAAUGCGCAGAUAUUAGGAAGAACACCGGUGGCGAAGGCGGCUAUCUGGACAGUAACUGACGCUGAGGCGCGAAAGCGUGGGGAGCAAACAGGAUUAGAUACCCUGGUAGUCCACGCCGUAAACGAUGGAUACUAGGUGUAGGGGGUAUCGACUCCCUCUGUGCCGCAGUUAACACAAUAAGUAUUCCGCCUGGGGAGUACGGCCGCAAGGUUGAAACUCAAAUGAAUUGGCGGGG
rnacentral:rRNA from 1 species